CCACUAUUCCUCCCUCUAGUACGUCUCUCUGCCUCUCGAUCUGGAGAACGCCACGCUCCCGUUCCCGACCCCAUCGCCCCCGCCGGCCCCCGGCCCCCGUCGCGCCCGCCGGCCCCCAGUCCCCGGCCCCCGUCGCCUCCUCCGACCGCGGUGCAAGUUCCCGUCGCCCCCAGCAGCCGCUGGACUCGGCUCUGUCCCCUGUCGCCCUGCGGCCCGGCCUACCUUCGGGCCCGGCCUACCUUCGGCCCCGGCCCCGGCCCCCGUCGCCCUCGCCUACCCCCGGCCGCGCGGGCAACGAGCAUGGCGGACGCGCGGGCGACGAGCUUGGGUGGCGAGCAUGGCGCGCGGCGGCUUCUUCCCUCGGGCGCGCUGCGGCCUCUUCCGUCGAGCAAUGCGCGUGAUGGCCACAGAGGUGUUCCUCUCUCUGGCAGGCGGUGCCCCCUCUCUCUCUCUCCAGGAACCAGUGAGCAUGGCCGGGCGGCUGUGUGGAUACCAUUGUCGGGCAAGCGGCGCGGGCGUGCGUGGCUGUUCGGUGGCGUGGCGAGUAGGGCCGGGCGAGCGGCCCUGUGAGCAGGGCGAGGCGGGCGGCAGUGGUGUCCCGGCGAGAAGAAGGCCGGCCGGCGGUGAAGUACCUGUUGCUGCGAUGGAAGACUCGAUUGCUUUUCUUUUUUAGUUUCUAGGGGUCCUUGUGUAAAAUUUCAGGACAGUUGUGUAACUUCUCUGUAACCAUAGAUGAUGAAUGCAAGGCAGCACACCGUGUCGAGUCUAAAAUCUCCGAGAGCUAAACCUGUUUUUGUUUGUUGUUC
rnacentral:rRNA from 1 species